rnacentral:misc_RNA from 1 species
AAAAAUAUUUGGUCUCGUGCCAAAUUUACACCUGUGUGCACCAUUGUCUGUAUUUGGUAGCUCGAGCGCGCUCCGGAAGCUCAACACUUCCAUUAGGGGCGCCUACCCUUGCGGGUCACAUCCCGCUUGGGUUGGGCUACCGCCUUUUUUUUUUGAAAAACCUUUUUGUUUUGUCUUUUUGUCUGAACGAAGAGUUGAUCUUAAUUGAUUAAUGAUUUGAAAA